rnacentral:rRNA from 1 species
UACGGGGGGGGCAAGCGUUGUUCGGAAUUACUGGGCGUAAAGGGCUCGUAGGCGGCUCGCUAAGUCGGAUGUGAAAACUCUGGGCUCAACCCAGGGCCUGCAUCGGAAACUGACGAGCUAGAGUACUGGAGGGGAAAGCGGAAUUCCUGGUGUAGCGGUGAAAUGCGUAGAUAUCAGGAGGAACACCGGUGGCGAAGGCGGCUUUCUGGACAGUAACUGACGCUGAGGCGCGAAAGCUAGGGGAGCAAACAGG